rnacentral:miRNA from 2 species
UUGAAACAAUCUCUACUGAACC